CUGAUGCAGCCAUGCCGCGUGUAUGAAGAAGGCCUUCGGGUUGUAAAGCACUUUCAGUCGUGAGGAAGGUGGUGUAGUUAAUAGCUGCGUUAUUUGACGUUAGCGACAGAAGAAGCACCGGCUAACUCCGUGCCAGCAGCCGCGGUAAUACGGAGGGUGCGAGCGUUAAUCGGAAUUACUGGGCGUAAAGCGCAUGCAGGUGGUUUGUUAAGUCAGAUGUGAAAGCCCGGGGCUCAACCUCGGAAUAGCAUUUGAAACUGGCAGACUAGAGUACUGUAGAGGGGGGUAGAAUUUCAGGUGUAGCGGUGAAAUGCGUAGAGAUCUGAAGGAAUACCGGUGGCGAAGGCGGCCCCCUGGACAGAUACUGACACUCAGAUGCGAAAGCGUGGGGAGCAAACAGGAUUAGAUACCCUGGUAGUCCACGCCGUAAACGAUGUCUACUUGGAGGUUGUGGCCUUGAGCCGUGGCUUUCGGAGCUAACGCGUUAAGUAGACCGCCUGGGGAGUACGGUCGCAAGAUUAAAACUCAAAUGAAUUGACGGGGGCCCGCACAAGCGGUGGAGCAUGUGGUUUAAUUCGAUGCAACGCGAAGAACCUUACCUACUCUUGACAUCCAGAGAACUUUCCAGAGAUGGAUUGGUGCCUUCGGGAACUCUGAGACAGGUGCUGCAUGGCUGUCGUCAGCUCGUGUUGUGAAAUGUUGGGUUAAGUCCCGCAACGAGCGCAACCCUUAUCCUUGUUUGCCAGCGAGUAAUGUCGGGAACUCCAGGGAGACUGCCGGUGAUAAACCGGAGGAAGGUGGGGGACGACGUCAAGUCAUCAUGGCCCUUACGAGUAGGGCUACACACGUGCUACAAUGGCGCAUACAGAGGGC
rnacentral:rRNA from 1 species